rnacentral:rRNA from 1 species
AUGUAUAUGGACGACCCGGAUAAGAGGGCCGGGGUGCAGCUGUGCUAUUUUAUAUUUUCGCAGUUGCAGCAGCCCUUGUGUUUGCAGCAGCUUGGUUUUGAUCUGCUGGGAGUUGUGGCCGAGCUCAAGGCUGUCAACGUACGCAGCCACCAGGCCCUCGGACAGCUUCGUGAGCACCUUGCCGAGGAGCGAGCUGGUCGCGCCGACGGCCGCCUCCAUCUGCGCUUCGGUUCACCUUGCCGAGAUGAAGUGGUUGGGACUUGGGAAGUUUUUUUUCUUAUUCAGAGAGAAGUUGGGACUUGGGAGUUGAGAGCAGAGAUGGUAGCUAUCUAUCUAUGGCGCCUAUAUAUAUAUACACUGGUCUUCAACCUAAAAUAA